GGGAGCGUCCGUGCACCUGGUGGGCACCGCGGCCUUCAAAGCCGUUGAAGGGCUGUACCCGCAGUCCUUGGUGGGUUCGAUUCCCAUCCGCUCCCGUCCA
rnacentral:tRNA from 1 species